GCACCAAUACCAGUCACGUGGCGGGGCACGCCUCCUUGCCUUUCCUGCAGGUGUUUUGCUGUGCUGCAAUGCUCCAGAAGGAAGAACAAAACAGCAUCUUCAGAAGAUUCUGGUGUCAUCCCACAGAAGCGCCAAGUUGAUGUAUGUUUGGUGUGAGGAAUUUAGGAAUGGAAGAAAGAGCUGAAAGUUGGGAUUUAAGCAUAGCAGAAGAGGAGGAAGCGCUGCUCCAGAGAUGACUGGACAGAAGGAUGGGAAUCCUCAGCCGUGCUCUAGAAUCUUGAAAAACAGUCACCAAAGUCUCCUUAAAGUACUUGUCUUUGUAACAGUGUUUGCAAAAAAAAAAAAAAAAAGGGGGGGGGGAAUCCUCCACACGAAGUGAAAUCUGGAUAGUAUUUUUUAAUGUAGAAAGACUGAAGACGAAACACUGCAGAUGGGAGAAGGAGGCAUUCCUUUUCAUUCCAUAGUUCAGAGAGGAAGGGCUGAAGAAAGAGUAAUGGUCUACGGACCUUCGGAUCUCAGCACACGCCAAGACUUCACAUUUUAAAAACACUGGGAGUCAGGGAAGGGGCUGGAAGGCUGCUUUGAACAAUACUGUGCUGUUGGCCUCAAAUAGGGUUUCGGAGAUUCUAGGCCGCCUUUUCAUCCCGCUUAAUUUUCCUGUUAGCACUGGUUGCUGUCGAAGAGGGAAGAGCUCCCUUUGCGCUCCCAGGAAGGGUGCCCUUAUCUCCGAGAAAAUCUGUUCUUGAAGGCUUUAAUAGUCUUCGCCAUCAUUGGUGCGAUUUCUGAAAGAGGAAACAGAAACAUUGAACCAUUUGCAGAGAAACAGGCUUGAUAAUGUGUUAUCGAAGGCUUUCAUGGCCAGAAUCACUGGGUUGCUGUGAGUUUUCUGGGCUGUAUGGCCAUGUUUCGGAAGCAUUCUCGCCUGACGUUUCGCCCACUUUGAAGCUGCAAGGCUAUUCAAUGCUAAUCAAGCUGGCCAGCUGAAAUAUUCACUUGUCUCAGGCAGACAAGAGUUAUUUCUCCCACCCUGAACAUUCCACAAAUAUAUAAACCCCAAUUGCCUAGUUUCCAACAGACCUCACAACUUCUGAGGACGCCUGCCACAGAUGUGGGUGAAACGUCAGGAGAGAAUGCUUCUGGAACAUGGCCAUACAGCCAAGAAAACUCACAGCAACCCAUUCUUGAUAAUAAUCAGACACUUUGAUUUGCACCAUUAUUCAGAUUCAGGACUCUGCAUAACCAGGGUGUAUUGAGCCUUAACAACCUAUGCAAGGAAAAAUCAGUGCCACCUUUCAGGGAUCCCUGCUAUUGCUCUUCCUUUCUUCACUGCAGAAUCACUCAGCUUCUGAAGUUCCAGUUUGGAAAAAUUUAUUUUUUGGACUAACACCCACAGUCAGUCGUAAUGGUCUCAGAAAUUAUGGGAACCCUAAGAUUUCCAAGUUUUGUACCAAAAAAACAUUUUUUUCUCUCUUGUUGAUUUUAUUUUUAAAUGAAAUUACUCUUCCUGAUCACCCUAUAUUUUAUCCUGAGCCUUACAUUGAGCCUGUAUAAUUUUGCCUCUCUCUAUAUAUUGUUCUAUGCUCAAACUCAUUGUUCCGAUAUGCUGUUUUAUCCUGUUUUAUGCUGUUAUUUGGUUUUAUUGUUUAUAUUGGUUUUAUUGUAUGACUGUUUAUUAUAUGUGACAUUGGGCUUGUUCCCCAUGUGAGCUGCUCCGAGUCGCCCUGGGGGAGAUGGGAGCAGGAUAUAAAAAUAAAAAAUUAUUAUUAUUAUUAU